ACUCUGACUCUCCCCCUCCUUCUGCCGCUCUAUCUCUCCUUCCCUCGCCCGCUCUCUCUCACACUUCAGUUUGCCACUGACACAUGAUUCUGGGCUGUUUUUGCUUUUUUUUUUAUCUCCCCCAGCCUCAUACCCCUUACUCACCCGCACCCACCCCCCAACCUCAUUUGAAUUCCAACUCACUUUUUAUUCCAAAUUUUGUUGUUCAUUAGACACACACUUUCAGCAUGCACACUCUCUACUCUACAUACACCAUGCCUGAUGAUAGCAAGGAAGGGAGGGAGAGCCGAAGCGAGGGAGAGAAUGAGCGAGUGAGAGGACGCCAUUUAAGCAGUUUGUUACGAGCACUGCCAGUCCCCAAAAUGGCUGAAAACAAACAGGAGCCAUGCCAACAGAAAAAAAGCUUGGCCAUAGAGACACGGAGGGAAAGAGAUAAAGAGUAGGAGCGGGGAGAAAGAGAGAGACGCCAGACAAUACUUGGGUAAAACUCUUUAGAUAAGUGAGGUAGCCAAAAGAGAGAUCAAAGAGAAGGGCAUGGACAUGAACUUUGGUUUCCAUUUUCUCCUCUCUCCACUUCCUUGACUAAAGAAGAGUACGUUUAUGGCAAGAAGCGUUGGAAUAGUGGGGUAAACAUUGACGUUUUUGGCCGAGGCAGCCUUCUAUGACAGAUUUGGCCUUCUCGCAGAGCAGAGAAAUAGCACCUCUGUACUUUUUGUCCUGCCCUUGUUUCCUGAAUCACUCCAUCUGGCAUUUGCUGGAUCGAUUGAUCCUAAUUACUCUCAAUCUAUAGCUACUGAAAAGUUCAGGAACCACUUGUUUCAAAAUGGCAUUGUGUGUGGAGAACUCUUUAAAACAGUCUGUCUUGACAUUCAGAAAAAAAUUUCCAGCCCAAACGACCUGCGGAGGGCAGGGCAACAGGAUAAGGAAAAUGAGAGUUCAUACUGAAUUUUUUUCUCGUUUCGCUCUUCCUCUUCUGUCUGCUUUUUUCAUGCCCAAAUUUCUGCCGAACAGCUCAUUAUAUACCCCCCAUCCUACGUUCCUUUCCCCUGUGCCCCUCGGUCCUUCUCUCUAUUUUUCCUUUCUCUUUCGCACUCCUUCUUUUUCUUUUCUAUUGUAUGCCAGCCCACUUGUCUCCAUGGGAACUCUGCUUGGAAAGGGUGUUGUUCUUAUGAUCUCUCCGACUUGUUGGAACUUUGUCACUUUUCUCACACUUCUAUGUGGUUCUUAUUGUGAGCUUGAUUACAGAACUUUCAGUUCACAUGCUCGUUUCUUUCUAUUUGGAGUUUGUCAAGUUCAGGUAACCCAUUCAGUAAGGUUUACCAAAAAGUGAUUCUACUUUUUCUUGAGCUGUUGGGGAAUUGAAACAAGGAUAUAAGAAACUCAAAAAUGCAAGAUAUUUCCCCACAGUCAUUAUUAAAAGCAUGGUGCUCAUGUUAAGCUAUGUAGACAAUAGAUGUUUUAUCACUAAGUGUGGAUAAGGAAGUUUAGUUGUUGAUAAGGAAGUUCGUAUGAAGUAUUUGAUUUAAGGUACCUUUGGGAUAAGAUCUUGGUUCAGUUUGAUAGCAACUGUUCAAGGAUCAUGCAUUAAGCAAAAGUACAUUGAUAUAUUUUAUAUUAUUUAAAUACUUUAACUAAAAAAACAACAACAAAUAGGCCAGACAGAGGUGGUCUUCACAAACCGUCCUCUUGUAUCACCCAUUAAACACUGUAAACACGCUUUGUCAUAUUCCAAAUGAUUAUAUUUGACGUUUGAUUGCCUAUAAUCUUUGUCUGCUGUGAAAAUAGGUGGCUGAAAUGUUCCCUGCUCAGUGUUGAUCAAAGGCUGUCUUUAACAUGACAUACGGAUCAGCAGACACUAAUGAGAGGGCAGUGGCCAGCUGAAUCUCCACAGUAACAAAAGAGGCUGGGACAUCUGGAGUCAGCCACACACAGACUCCUGGAACUCCCACAAACAGAGGAGCAGUCACGACGUGGAGACCAGGAGAUUCGACUUGGGAAAAGGAGGCAGCAUCAGAGAUAAUCCAAGGAGUUAUGGACAGUUUCAUCAGCUUGCUUAUGGAGCCUUGUGAUUACUAAACUGGAACAAAAGGCUUCCCUGAAGAACUCCUGAUCAAAGCACAGCCCAUUUUCUGCUUGACUGUGGCUUCCGCUUGGAAGAGGAAGAUCCAGACAGACUGAGGGAAGACGAGCUUUCAGUCUGUUUUGCGCUCAAAGCUUCCAUCUAGUGGUCAUGUCUCUCCUCUGAUAUGUAGUUUGACAAGUUUCUCAGCAUCUCUUGCAUUUACACACGACUGUAACCAGGGACGGACUGGGACUAAAAAACAGUCUGUAACACGAUCACAAUAUAACAUUUGAGCAUAUACAUCAUGAAAAACUGUACAGGAGAUAAUCCAAUAACACGUGGUAUUAAAGGUGUCGUGAAAUUUUGGGUAAUAUCUGGCAAGCCUGUGUUAUUAAUAAUUUAUUGUUUGGUAUCGAAGUGAGAUUAGUUUUGCUCUAAUUUAUUAUAUGAACCCACUGUUGUGUUGUUUAAUACAAACAUCUGGUUUAGAAAUAGUAUAUGAACCAUAUUUCUAAAUUGAUUUGCAACGUGUAAAAAUGGCAAAACGUCCUUUGAAUAAAAAGUUAUUUGUUAAUGGCUUGCCUCUUAGAAACCAGCCUUAACAAAGAUUUUUUUUGUCCCUGGUGUUAAAUUCCACAGAACCUUUAUAAAGUUUUAAAAUAAAUGCUAUAUAGUGAUUAGGAUUUACCGUUAUGUUAAAACGCACGGACAAUUUAAAAAAAAACAAAAAAAACUCAGGCUGUUGUGAAAGUGUUCCAAAGAGGGAAUCUAAAUUUUUCUUUUCUCUUCCACAAGGAGGUGCUGCAGCUCGGUUUGCGAUACAUAGAAGAAAACCUCUGUUCACUUAGAAUAAUAAGCAGUGUGUACAGUCAUGGCCAAAAGUUUUGGCAGUGACAUCAGUUUUGUAUUUUGCAUAAUUUGCUGCUUCUGUAGUUGUAUAUUAUUUUUUCAACAUGUUUCUAUGGUAUACUGAAACACAAUGAUAAGCAUACUUUUUAAAGGCUUUUAUUGGCAAUAAUAAUAAUAAUAAUAAUAAUAAUAUAUAAAUGAGUCAGUAUUUAGAGUGUUGACCCGGAUUGAGAUCCGGGGAUUAGCCUGGCCACAGAUCCAAAAUUACAAUGAAAUGAUCUUCGAGACAUGGUGCUUCAUCAUGCUGGAAAAAGCAUGGAUCACCAAAUUGCCCAUGGAUCAUUGAAAGUUGUCACUCUUGCAGGAUGUUUUGAUACCAUUCUUUAUUCAUGGCAGAAUUAUAAGAGGGUCCACUCCCUUGGUUUAAAAGCAAGUGUCUGUUAGCACAACA